rnacentral:tRNA from 1 species
CAAAUUAUAGCUUAAUAAAAGCAUUUCAUUUACAUUGAAUAGAUAUUAAAUUUUAUUUAAUUAUUUUGA